rnacentral:rRNA from 1 species
UACGAAGGGGACUAGCGUUGUUCGGAAUCACUGGGCGUAAAGCGCACGUAGGCGGAUUUGUAAGUCAGGGGUGAAAUCCCGGGGCUCAACCUCGGAACUGCCUUUGAUACUGCGAAUCUUGAGUCCGAUAGAGGUGGGUGGAAUUCCUAGUGUAGAGGUGAAAUUCGUAGAUAUUAGGAAGAACACCCGUGGCGAAGGCGGCACUCUGGGACGGUACUGACGCUGAGACGCGAAAGCGUGGGGAGCGAACAGG